GCCGCCCUAGCUCAGUUGGUAGAGCAGUUCACUCGUAAUGAUCAGGUCUCCGGUUCGAUUCCGGAGGGUGGCUCCA
rnacentral:tRNA from 1 species